AGUGAACGCUGGCGGCAGGCCUAACACAUGCAAGUCGAGCGGCAGCGCGGGGGCAACCCUGGCGGCGAGCGGCGGACGGGUGAGGAAUUCGUCGGAAUCUGCCUUUUUGUGGGGGAUAACGUAGGGAAACUUACGCUAAUACCGCAUACGUCCUACGGGAGAAAGUGGGGGACCGCAAGGCCUCACGCAGAAAGAUGAGCCGACGACCGAUUAGCUAGUUGGUGGGGUAAAGGCCGACCAAGGCGACGAUCGGUAGCUGGUCUGAGAGGAUGAUCAGCCACACUGGGACUGAGACACGGCCCAGACUCCUACGGGAGGCAGCAGUGGGGAAUAUUGGACAAUGGGCGCAAGCCUGAUCCAGCCAUGCCGCGUGUGUGAAGAAGGCCUUCGGGUUGUAAAGCACGUUUGUCCGGAAAGAAAUCCCUGGAGCUAAUACCUUCGGGGGAUGACGGUACCGGAAGAAUAAGCACCGGCUAACUUCGUG
rnacentral:rRNA from 1 species